rnacentral:ncRNA from 1 species
UUGUUAGAGGCGCAAAAGUAAAGAGUAGUUAGCUUUUGGCACUCAUUUGCCCAUAAAAGCGAAACAAAAGGUGCUUUUGCCGAAACCGGACCGUUAAUGAGGCGGAAAGGUUGGGAGCAAGAAUAAUAUUCUUGCUACUGUCGCAACACUUUUGCGGAGUGCUACA